AUACGUAAUUCCCCCGUACUGCUUCUGUUACAACAGUGAGCGCAAGCUAGAUUCAAGUGAUUAUUACGUUUUGAAUAUGGAUAUGUUUCUUAACGAAAACACAUCGAUUCGCUACAGGAGGCCUUUGUUCACUCCCCGGAGCCGUGUGAGACACUUUUUUUGAUGGAACUGCACUUUUAUUCAGGUCUUUUGGACUGAAGGAAUGCAGCACCCGCUGACUGCAAUGAUAGAGCUUGAAAUAUCAAAGAUUUCUAAACAAAAAAAAAAAAAAAAAAAGUACUGAAUCAGGAGAGAAAUCUGCACAGAUCAAGCACUGUUUACAAGCAAAAACAGUCCAAAACUGUUCUAAACAAAUAUGCCGGUGGAUUUGGAAGUGAGAGGUCAACAGGGGAUGGACUUUGUCAUUGGAAGAAGUGUUAUUAUGGAUAAUGGACUGGUAUUUUGGCCAGAAGUGAUGGUUGAAGUUAUGGUGGAUUUGUUUCUUACAAACAUGCAUCAUUUCGCUUCACAAGACAUUAACUGAUGGACUGGAGUGGUGUGGAUUACUUGUGGAUUAUUGUGAUGUUUUUAUCAGCUGUUUGGACUCUCAUUCUGACGGCACCCAUUCACUGCAGAGGAGCUAUUGUUGAGCAGGUGAUGUAAUGCUACAGUCCUCCAAAUGUGUCUCAAUCAAAAAAAAAAAAAAAAAAAAGGGGGGGGAGGGGGUAAAGUUUACUAGCAAUUUUUUUUAACGGCACCCAUUCACUGCAGAGGAGCUAUUGUUGAGCAGGUGAUGUAAUGCUACAGUCCUCCAAAUGUGUCUCAAUCAAAAAUAAAAAAAAAAAGGGGGGGGGGAAGGGUAAAAUUUUCAGCAAUUUUUUUUUGGGUGGACCGUUACUCUAAUAUGCAUUUUUUUUUUCUCCAUUUCAUUGGCGCAUGCUAUUCAUACUCAAAUUGCAAUGAAUAGCAUAUGUUUUGUUCCUGUUUUAAUGUAUUUUAUUACUUUGCAAGUUAACACACAUUGCGGAGUCAAAGCAACAUCCGUCUGGUCCAAUGAGACGCAAGUACAGCUCCUGUUCAACAAUAUUCCUGGACGACAGCACCGUCAGCCAACCCAACCUCAAAUACACCAUUAAAUGGUACUUGAACCCUCAGCGUAAACUGAUCGAAAUGUGCAUGAUUGGUUUAUGAUGGAUAUCUAAAUGAGGGGGUUUAAAAAAAGAAUUGGGUUUUCAAAAGCAUGGCUGGAGCCUUUGGAAAUUGGGCCUAACAACUUGUUACAUUGUAUCAUUGAUAAAUAAUAACCAGUACAAUGAGUGAAUGAGUCACAUGUACUUUUUGAAUAAAUACAAUCUAU
rnacentral:lncRNA from 1 species